rnacentral:rRNA from 1 species
CCUACGGGGUGCAGCAGUGGGGGAUAUUGCACAAUGGGGGGAACCCUGAUGCAGCGACGCCGCGUGGGUGAAGAAGCGCCUCGGCGCGUAAAGCCCUGUCAGCAGGGAAGAAAAUGACGGUACCUGACGAAGAAGCCCCGGCUAACGACGUGCCAGCAGCCGCGGUAAUACGUAGGGGGCAAGCGUUAUCCGGAUUUACUGGGUGGAAAGGGGGCGCAGACGGCGAUGCAAGCAAGGAGUGAAAGCACGGGGCGCAACCCCGGGACUGCGCGUGGAACUGCGUGGCGGGAGUGCAGGAGGGGCAGGCGGAAUUCCUGGUGUAGCGGUGAAAUGCGGAGAUAGCAGGAGGAACACCGGUGGCGAAGGCGGCCUGCUGGACUGCAACUGACGUUGAGGCCCGAAAGCGUGGGGAGCAAACAGGAUUAGAUACCCCGGUAGUC